GAGAGCAGAGGUAAAGAAACACGUGAGCUGCUGGAUCAGGCUCUCCCCAGAGACGGCUACGUACAGGGCUACAAGAGAGGUGCACCAGAAUGCUUGAAGGAAAGAGACUUCACCAGUGUUUCACAAGUGGAAGAUGGCAAUAGCUCCUGGGAGGUCCCACCAUGCACACUGGAGGAACACAGCUACAUCAGAUGUGCAGAAGAAUCUUGGGAAGAAUGCAGAUGUUGGAUCUAGCGGUCUCUGUGGUCCUGCUCCUCCCAUGGAAAGGGAUGUGGAUUAUCCAGCAGGCCCUUCUGAUCCCAGGACAGCCUUCUUGCUAGACAGAGAGCUGUGACGCCAGACAAAUUAAAUUAUCAAGACUACACACAAAGUUUAUGGUGAAACAGCAACCUGAAUUUAGUUGCCAAUUGACAUGCUUUCCUUCCAUUUCUUUCUGUAUCUUUGUUUUCAAGGCAAGGACUGGGAAAAAAAUCACAACAGGAUCAACAUGUUAGAAUUUUAAAUUGUUGGUACAAGAUGCAAGAUGCUGGGAAAUACUGCUCACUAGGCACAAAUGCUAAUGAAGUUGGAAUAAUUUUUCCCCCAUUCUGAGCUGCAUUCUCAAUACAGACCUCAUAUGAAACACAGCGUGUUUAAGGAGUUAAAUAAAG